rnacentral:lncRNA from 1 species
ACAAAGCCAACCAAUAUUGAGGAGCAUAUUUGUCGACUUUACACAGGCGUUUGACCAUAUUAAUCACAACAUUUUAUUCUACAAACUAGAGAAAUAUGGAAUA